GACACGCUGGCGGCGUGCCUAACACAUGCAAGUCGAACGGACGUAGAGGGAGCUUGUUUCCUCAAGUUAGUGGCGGACGGGUGAGUAACGCGUGAGUAACCUGCCUUUCAGAGGGGAAUAACGAUUACUGAAAAGGAUGCUAAUACCGCAUAAUGUCACAGUAUCGCAUGGUACAGUGGACCAAAGGAGCAAUCCGCUGAAAGAUGGACUCGCGUCCGAUUAGCUAGUUGGCGGGAUAAAGGCCACCAAGGCGACGAUCGGUAGCCGGACUGAGAGGUUGAUCGGCCACAUUGGGGACUGAGACACGGCCCAGACUCCUACGGGAGGCAGCAGUGGGGGAUAUUGCACAAUGGGGGGAAACCCUGAUGCAGCAACGCCGCGUGAAGGAAGAAGGUCUUCGGAUUUGUAAACUUCUGUCCUCAGGGAAGAGUAAAUAGACGGUACCUGAGGAGGAAGCUCCGGCUAACUACGUGCCAGCAGCCGCGGUAA
rnacentral:rRNA from 1 species